CACUAUCGAAACAUGUGUUGAUUCAAACGUAUUGUGUAAUUUGAACACAUGCAACAUCCAUUUCUCUUCAGACGUAGAACCUAGUAGAAAUUGUUAGAAUAAUUUUGUUCAAGCGAUAACUACACGAGCAUGUGUAUAAUCGGCAGCUGUGGGAGUAGGCGUUCCAUCAACUGAACACAGAAAUGUACUGACGACAAUGUCUUACAAUUGAAGAAAUGGAAUGCUUUUGGAUUGAUUGUUCACGUACGCAGUUACUAUAAAGUAAAGACUAACGGAGUAAACAAGCAAAAAAUCAACUUACCUGAUACGUGAAGCGUCCGACGAUGUUGUUGGAGUGGUAGGCUAGAACGUGCAUAUGCAGAGGGGGGAGACGAAAAGGAUACUAGAUAUCAUGGAUCGCCGCCGAAGUAGGCCCACGUUUCAACCGAAGAUGACCACUGGACAACGAGAAUCACUGCUAGAACUAUAGCUCGAGAUUGCCAGGAGGGUUUGCAUCAUCAACGAACAGAACCAGUGGACGUCGAAGAUCGUUGCAGAGGAUGGUCUACAUCAUCACCGAAGAUGACUACUGGACAAAGACGCUUGCUGACGGACCUGUGAGGAUUGUCGCCCAAAAUAUUAAAUAUUAAAUGAAAAGUUAUAAGCUUCAAACUAUGAUUUUAUUAUUAUUAUUUUUUAAUGUACUUAGGAAGUCUUUGAUCAACACCGAAGAAGCCCACUUGAAAACGAGGAUCGUCGCCAAGACCGUUGGCCAGAAAUGUCAGGUACUAAAUUUAAAGUUUCAAGACUUAUCAUGUUUUAUAUAUUUAUAAUUUUUGGUGCUCGAGUGUUUGUAACACCAACAAGGAGUACCUAUGGACUUCGGGAAUUGCUAGCAAAGUCGACAGGAUCGUUUCCCGGGAUUCUUAGGUAUUAACCUUAAAAUUUUAAGUGUCUAACUAAGGUUUUUUCUUAAUGAGUUUAAGAUGAUCCACAUCACCACCGAAGAGGGCCAAUGGACAACGAAGAUCGCCGUUGAAGCUGCCCGGAUUGUUGCCCAAAAUCGUCAAAGGGUCCUCAACACCACCAAAGAAAGCUGUAGACGACGAGGAUCGCCGCCAUGACCGUUGCCCAAGAUUGCCAGGCAUAAAUUUAAAAUGAGGGUCUGCAACACCAAUGAUGAGGAUCAUUGGACGUAGAGGUUCGUCGCCGAAGUCACAAGAACCGUCGCGCAGGAUUGUCAGAUAUUAAUUUUAAAAUUUUAAUUGUCUAAUUUUUUUUUUUUUUUUUUUUUUAAAUAAUGUAUUUACUAUGGUCUUCAUCACCAUCGAAGAGUACCAUUGGGCAACGAGGAGCAGUUGGAGGCACUAGGAUUGUAACCAAAAAUUUUCAAGAGGGUUUAGAUCACCACCGAUGAGGAUUACUUGACAAAGAGAAUCGCCCCCAUCACCGUUGCCAAGAAAGGGGUCGCAAUACCACCGGGAGGACUUUUGGAUGUCGUGGAUUGUCGGUGAACUUGUCAGACUUUAUAGCUCAAAAAACUCGGGUGUUAAUGUUAAAAUUUUAAGUAUAUAAUCAUGCUUUCUUUUAAAUAAUUUUAGUAGUUUUCAGAGCACUUCAGAGGAUGAAUACCGGACAUCUAGGAUCGGCACCCAGCUCCGUAAUUCAUGGCUAUUGGGAGGAUGGAAAAAUAGAAUAUGGUACGGUUGAGUAUUGCCAAGUCAGCAUUUGCUUUCUUCAUUCUGUUUUGUAAUUUCUGUGUUUUAUACGUGUGCCUCUAAUUCCUUUUCCCCUACCAUAAUUUUCCCUUCAAGCACUUUGGGUUAUCGUUUCACCUUGCACGGAGCAUGAAAAUUCACUACACCUUAACCCCAGGGUUCGCACAGUGUAUGCGUUAGAUUUCAUGCAUUGGUUAGGGAAGUUUGAAUUUAGGGUAUGUUGUUCAGCUUACAUCUUAUAUUUGCUUUAGAUAAUUAAUAAUAAUUGAUCUUAAAACAAAAACAGUAACACAAAAUAAAUUUAUACCGUUUCAAUAUUGAAUACGGAGUAGUGUCUUGAAUAAUCUAGCCACAUAAUAAACCAUUCAUCGCUUGUGAUCGGGUUGCAUGGGCUUGUGAGCGGGUUGCAUUCCUUAUAAAAUUUUACGGGGUAUGGGGCUAAUCAAAAAAGAGCCCGUUACUCGCCCGACCCGCCCCAAAAACUAAAACAAUUCGAAUAGUGCGUGGGGUGUGGCCUAUUUACAGGUGUUUACCAUGGAGUGUGGCUUAUUUACAGGUGUUUACCAUGGAGUAGUGAAACCAUGUAAUCUAUGACUCUGCCCUGCUAGCCCUAGUCGUUUAGUUAUCCUAGGCAAUUAGAUGCUUUGGAACGCUGUUCCAAAAAUAUAUUGGCACAAGAACCUCCUAAGUCUUGUCUGUGAAAGUGCAGAAAUUUGUUAAGCAACCCAGGAAUAUCGGUUGAUGAUUUGAUCCGAACGCCACUCAAACCUCGCCACGCCAAACUCAACUGAUGGGCGACAUCGUUAAUAUGGAAGUGGAAUAUAGUUCAACAUGCCAUGAUAAAAUACCAAUCUGCAAAGCCUUGGCUGCAGAAGUGAAAAUCAAUGAAGCUCUAGUAAUCUAUGCUCUUGCAAAACAGACCAGAAUUGUGAGCUGAAUUUUCACAUUGUUAAUUUUUUUGUUUUCAUACUUGAUCAUUUGCUUUGCUUACAUCGAGGUGAUACCAUUUCAGCAGAGUGCAUUUUAGAAGUAAUUGUGCACGUUUGUUUUGAAACCAUCAGUGUGAUUUCUCAACAAGAAUAUCAUUAGCUUGACCAAAAAAACAAGCCAGCUUCUGUCACUAAAAUGGUCCAGCACGUUGAUCAGACACCUAUCAAGAAAAUAAAGCUCAAGUUUAUUGACAAUCAGGACUGUUACUGCCAGAAAGAUGCAUAUGAAUUUGGUCUUUGUUUUCAUUAUUCUUCUUUACAGAAAUAAGAAAAAAAAUUUUCAUUUUAGAUUUAUGUUGAAGUGUAUUAAGCCAGAUAUACACAUUCUUAAAUCUGUU